AUGCAGGAGCUUCCUCAGCCUAGUAACUGGUUUUUCUCCUGGGAUUCUUUCUUUCCUUUUUUUUUUUCUUUUCCCCCCCAAUGUAGCGGCUGCAUUUCAGCAAGGGAAAAUCCCACCUACACCGUUCUCGGCACCACCUCCCGCAGGAGCCAUGAUACCACCUCCUCCCAGCAUCCCUGGCCCCCCGCGGCCUGGCAUGAUGCCGGCCCCUCACAUGGGUGGACCGCCAAUGAUGCCAAUGAUGGGCCCACCCCCACCAGGGAUGAUGCCGGUUGGACCCGCUCCAGGGAUGAGGCCACCGAUGGGAGGACAUAUGCCGAUGAUGCCGGGGCCCCCGAUGAUGAGACCACCCUCCAGACCCAUGAUGGUGCCAACCAGGCCAGGAAUGACCCGUCCAGACAGAUAAAGGUGGAAAUGGAGCUGCCUGUUCUUUUUCAUAUUAUGAUCUUCCAUAUGAUAAAAUACCAUAGACCUAUGUCCCUAAGAUUUUGUAUUAAAACAGUGUGCAGAGGAAAUCUGCUUUUACUUCAGAUUGCAGACGGUUUGACCUAGAUGCACACUGGACUGAUGCUUUUGUACCUGGUCUGGUUUUUUUGGUGGGUUUUUUUGUUUGUUUUGCCCCCCCAUUGAAUUGUAAAACACAACAAUAAAACAUGGAUGCUGGUUUACAUAUGGAGAAUCUGAGCCUUUCUCUGUGUGUGGUUUUUCUGCCUGGCAGAAAGAGAUGUCAGUUUUCUUUGUUCCCUCUCUACCCAUCUUGCACUGAUUUUUUUUCAGGUUUUUUUUUUCUCCUUAGUCUUUAGGUAGUCUCUCUUUUUCAUGUCAUACCCCUCAAGAGAUGUAUUACUAUCUGCAUUUUGAAUUCUUGUUUCAAAACAAGUAUGCGUGUUUCUAAUAAAAAAAAAAACAAAAACAAAAGUGACAUCAGAAAAGACUGCAGGGAAAUCUCUGACUGGGGAGACUGCACCAUUAAGUGACUUUACUAGCACAAAAUAGGAUGAACUUAAUCAAAUGUUGAUUCUCCACUGAGGGAAGCAAAGAGAUGCUGUUAAAAGUCUACUUCCUACAGUAAUUGUUUUGAUGCUACUAAACAUAUUUCUGCUUUUCUAUUGGUACCAGCACGUUUGGACACAUUUAAUUACGUUAUUGGAGUUGUCAGUAGUUAUUAAUGCUCGGUUCUCUUCUUAGCAUAAAGGGAUGUGUUGUGGAAGACAUAUCCCAGGCCCUUUAGUUUAAUAAAAAGAUUUUGCUUUUGGUGAGCUGUAUGUAAUGGAGGUGCACAAUUCCAAUUGAAAUAAAAGAAUUCAUUCAUUGC
rnacentral:lncRNA from 1 species